rnacentral:rRNA from 1 species
UACGUAGGGUGCGAGCGUUGUCCGGAAUUACUGGGCGUAAAGAGCUCGUAGGUGGUUUGUCGCGUUGUCCGUGAAAACUCACAACUCAAUUGUGGGCGUGCGGGCGAUACGGGCAGACUGGAGUACUGCAGGGGAGACUGGAAUUCCUGGUGUAGCGGUGAAAUGCGCAGAUAUCAGGAGGAACACCCGUGGCGAAAGCGGCUCUCUGGGACGGUACUGACGCUGAGACGCGAAAGCGUGGGGAGCAAACAGG